GACGAACGCUGGCGGCGUGCCUAAUACAUGCAAGUCGAACGCAGUGGGGACGGUUGAGUAACACGUGGGUAACCUCCCAUCAGAGGGGAUAACACUUGGAAACAGGUGCUAAACCGAUACUGAUGGAUGGACCCGCGGUUCAUUAGCUAGUUGGUGAGGUAACAGCUCACCAAGGCCACGCUGCAUAGCGGACCUGAGAGGGUGCUCGGACACACUAGGACGGAGACACGGCCCAGAAGCAUACGUGAGGCAGCAGUAGGGAAGAUGCGGCAAGGGACGAAAGUCUGACCGAGCAACGCCGCGUGAGUGAAGAAGGUUUUCGGAGCGUAAAACUCUGUUGUUAGAGAAGCGGUAUCUAACCAGAAAGCCACGGCUAACUACGUGCCAGCAGCCGCGGUAAUUC
rnacentral:rRNA from 1 species